rnacentral:rRNA from 1 species
UACAGAGGUCCCGAGCGUUGUUCGGAUUCACUGGGCGUAAAGGGUGCGUAGGCGGCGCGGUAAGUCGGGUGUGAAAUUUCGAGGCUCAACUUCGAAACUGCAUUCGAUACUGCCGUGCUUGAGGACUGGAGAGGAGACUGGAAUUUACGGUGUAGCGGUGAAAUGCGUAGAUAUCGUAAGGAAGACCAGUGGCGAAGGCGGGUCUCUGGACAGUUCCUGACGCUGAGGCACGAAGGCCAGGGGAGCAAACGGG